GACGAACGCUGGCGGCGUGCUUAACACAUGCAAGUCGAACGGAAAGGCCCUGCUUUUGUGGGGUGCUCGAGUGGCGAACGGGUGAGUAACACGUGAGUAACCUGCCCUUGACUUUGGGAUAACUUCAGGAAACUGGGGCUAAUACCGGAUAGGAGCUCCUGCUGCAUGGUGGGGGUUGGAAAGUUUCGGCGGUUGGGGAUGGACUCGCGGCUUAUCAGCUUGUUGGUGGGGUAGUGGCUUACCAAGGCUUUGACGGGUAGCCGGCCUGAGAGGGUGACCGGCCACAUUGGGACUGAGAUACGGCCCAGACUCCUACGGGAGGCAGCAGUGGGGAAUAUUGCACAAUGGGCGGAAGCCUGAUGCAGCAACGCCGCGUGCGGGAUGACGGCCUGCGGGUUGUAAACCGCUUUCGCCUGUGACGAAGCGUGAGUGACGGUAAUGGGUAAAGAAGCACCGGCUAACUACGU
rnacentral:rRNA from 1 species